UUAAGGGGUAUUUUUUGGACCUCAGCUCGUUUUGUUAAGUACUUUUUGCUUUAGUUCAAAUCUUACCUUAACACAUUAACCUAACAUUGAACACUACUUUUAUAUUAAGUGCUGUGAAUAGUCAAGUUGUAUAAGUUUGAGCAAACAUUCUACAAUUAAAUGCUAUUUGUUGGUUCAUGAUGUCUCAAGCAUUACAAGCUAAAGUUUACUGCAAAGUGUCACUUUUCCAUUUAGAGAAAUUAAGUUCUGAUACAAACGAAUGCAAAAGGUUGAAGACUCAGGGACACAAAACAGGAAUUGAAACCGCAAAUUCAGUAAAGCCAUUUAUUUUGCAAGCAGCUUUUGAAUAAAGAAUACAAAGGAAACACAUUCCAUUUAUAUCGUCAGUCAAUAACACCAUUCAGCCAACACUCCAGUUAAGCAGAUGUACAAGGACACAGAUCAGUGUGUCAGCCAGUUCAACUUCUGAUGCAGUUUACGUGACCUGGGGGAGAUAAAGAGUGUCAGUAAAAGUCUCUUAAAUCAGCACCUUUAAAUAUUUCUAGAUUUAUCAGAAUCAUCAAUCAGUCAUAACACAUCAGACUGGGGCGAUAAAUGUCAUCAUUAAAAAGUAAAACUAAACUUUCAAAAGCUGAUACAAAAUACAAACCUUUAAAAGUCAACAGAACACCAGCAAUCAAGUGACACUGGGACAACCUGGAUGGACAGUAGCAACACCUAAAGAACAAGGGAGGAGAAAAAAAAAAAAAAAGUACAGACAUGAAGUAUGGAUCAGAGGGGAUAUCAAUCUGUCUUUACUUUUCAGCCUGGGGCAAUCAACUCAUAUCCAUACUUUUUCAAUCAACAUUGUGUAAGUUUCAAACAAAACAAAUCACUGAGGUCAGAGGGUACCAUUCAGUCAGAUAAAUCAGACUGGGGCGGUAACUCAGUCAUCACACCUACUAUUUCACAUGUAACGCAACUUGAAAAUACAAAAUACAUACCAGCUUCAGUACGCUCAAGGGGUAAAGAACUCUGAGGGAAAAUUCACUGCAGUCCUGUAAGGAAACAAAAACAAAUAAUUGAACAUGCUUCAUGUAUGCUAAUGCUACUCCUUAUUAGACUGUUGGUACUCAAGUCAUCCCCUUAUUUCCCAGGCAUUUAGAUGGGAGAGCUACACAUAUGUAAAUGCUGUAAUGUCAGUAGUAAAUUUUUACUAAAGGGGUCAUAUGAUGCGAUUAAGUUUUCCUUUCUCUUUUGAGUUACAAGUUGUUUGUGAAAGGAUAAGAUCCCUAAAGUUGCAAAGAACUAAAGUCUCAAACCCAAAGAGAUAUUCUUUAUAAAAAGUUAAGACUCAUCCACGUCCUCCUAAAACGCCUCGUUUAAACAGUUACUGAGGUCAGAGGGUACCAUUCAGUCAGAUUAAUCAGACUGGGGCGGUAAUUCCAUCAUCACACCUACUAGGAUAGCUCACAUGUCUCUGAAGUUGAAAACACAAAAUACAUACUGUUAUAGUAUGCUCAAGGGGGAAGGACUUCAAGAAUCCACUGUAGUCCUGCAAGGAAUCAAGAGAAACAAGAUUAGGGAACGUAUGUAAAGAAACUUGUCUACACUAAAGCUAGUCCUUCUCAGACUGUUGGUAACCCCAACAAGUCAUCCCCUUGUUACCCAGGCAACACCAGUGGGUUCACCUUUUCAGGUUCUGGUAUUGACACAGGGCAUAAGACAUGUGCAAGUAACAUCAUAAAAGGACCAGCUGCAAUAGGUUUGUCAUUUUGUAUAUUAGGAACAGAAUUCUCACCUGUGAAUGUCUCAUCUCAGAUGUGCCACCUAUAGGUUAAAAAAAAAAAAAAAAUAGGAUGGGAGACCUACACAAAUGCAGAGAUAACACACAUACAGAUGCCAAAUCUGUAACAUCAGUAAUAUUAAUUAAUCAGCAGGACUUCAGACGAACGAGACUGCAAAAAUCAUCAUAGGUUACAGAUGGAAUAGAGUAGCAAGUAGUGCAAGUUAACUACAAAGGGACCAUUUCAAUGAAAUUUGUCAUGAGAAAUGCAUAUUCUUACCUGCGGAGUAUUUCAGGAUUUCAGACGAACGAGAUUCCAAAAAGGUAAUCAUCAUCAGUUACAGAGGGAUUGAGUGUAUUACAGAUGGAAGAGCACAGAGAUGCAAAUUAACUACAAAAGGGACCAUUUCAAUGGAAUGGGUCAUGAGAGAUGCAUAUUCCUACCUGCUGAGAGUACUUCAGGUACGCAACCUUUUGGAGAGAAAACCAAUCAGAGUGUCAUUUCAGAUACAAAUAGCAUUUAAAAAAAAAAAAAAAAGUGAAUCAUGUACUGUAACUUCAGUAAUAAAGAUUUAUCAACAGGAUUUCAGACGAACGAGAUUCCAAAAGAUAAUCAUCAUUAGUUACAGAGGGUUAAUCAACACAUGGGAGCAAGUAACCUUACCUAAUACCAGCAAAGGACUUGACCCACUUUGUUUUGGACAAAUAACAGUCCUGUCAAGAAAAUAAGAGGAACAAUGUCAGACACGGGCAUAUGUAAAAUCAGAAUAAUAAACAUCCCAUAAAUCUCUCAGAUGUUCGUAACUUUUCACAUCGGGUCAAAGUGAGCUAAGUAUCUUCAUCACAGAGACAGAGCAAAACACAGCAUUUAAAAAUUAAACUGAAGUACCUUAGGGAGUUGCAGGUUCUUGCUGAAAAAGCCAUUUUGUUCCAACACUACCUUAAAAACAAAAAGACCUUUAAUAUUUAAACUACAGAGAAACAAGACCAUCAGGUUUAUCACCGUCUGAUCAGGGCUCUGGUGACUAUAACGUCAUGGGACAAUAAUGCAGUCCAGAUAUUAACAGUAUAAACCAUUCAAAGAAAAACUCACAUGAACAUCUUUAUAGCCACACCAUCAUCACCAAGACAAAGUGGGAUGAUCUAGAAAAUGACAGGCAUUAUAAGCACAGAAAGCAGCCAACAGUUCAAAAACAAGCACUAUACAGUCUGAUCAUACUUUGGUGACUAGAAUGCCAUACGACAAAUCUGUCGUCCAGAUAAGAUAUGAAAGGAUAAUCAUUUCAGAUAAGUUGAAAAUUAAAUUGUGAACAUGAAGAUACACUUACCAAUACAACAUCUAUGGUCACCAUGCCCUCCAAGAUCACGUGAAGGAGCCCUUAAAUUAGAACAAAACAAUUAAACACCACAAUAAGGAGGUGACUAGACUGGACUCGUCAUCUGGACUAUGUCAGAAUAAAAAAGGCAAACAUCACUGGAAUUCAGACAUAUGCUUGUCUUUGAAAUCAUCAUCUAAAUGUUCAGUCUUAAAAGGAAGGACCUUAACACUUAGAGCUUACCUUAAAUUUAAUAGAUUUCCGCCUGCUCAUCCCAGCAGCCUGCAUGGAAACUGCAAAACAAAUACUUUGUAAGUGCCUGCAUUCACAAACACGACUAGAACAAACAAAAAUGCUUGGUGGCGUGUGCUAGAUGUCCAGUGCUACUCAGUUUAGAACAGUUACAUCAAAGCAAUUCAGGAAGAGAGAAUUCAGAAGUCAUCACAGUAGCACCGGAUAUUGCACUGUUCUAGUUAGUUGAAUUCUUAAUAUCAGGUCCACAAGUGGCACAAACUGACCUCUAAAAAACACCCAAUAAUGCAAAUACAGCACUGUGUACUCCGAAGGAGCUGUGCUUAAAUGUAAUAAUUCUAUCAUUAAAGACAUAAAUGACCAAAAGACAUAAAUAUCAAAUCGACCUCCAUGUAUGCUUCAGGAAAAGCACUAUAAAAUGCACCCUGCUACAGAACUUACCUUCCCAUGAGGCCAUGCUCGUCGCAGUCGCCAUUGCUGCAAAAGAAAAACCUCU
ensembl:lncRNA